rnacentral:rRNA from 1 species
CCUACGGGAGGCAGCAGUAGGGAAUCUUCCACAAUGGGCGAAAGCCUGAUGGAGCAACGCCGCGUGGGUGAAGAAGGUCUUCGGAUCGUAAAACCCUGUUGUUAGAGAAGAAAGUGCGUGAGAGUAACUGUUCACGUUUCGACGGUAUCUAACCAGAAAGCCACGGCUAACUACGUGCCAGCAGCCGCGGUAAUACGUAGGUGGCAAGCGUUAUCCGGAUUUAUUGGGCGUAAAGGGAACGCAGGCGGUCUUUUAAGUCUGAUGUGAAAGCUUUCGGCUUAACCGGAGUAGUGCAUUGGAAACUGGGAGACUUGAGUGCAGAAGAGGAGAGUGGAAAUCCAUGUGUAGCGGUGAAAUGCGUAGAUAUAUGGAAGAACACCAGUGGCGAAAGCGGCUCUCUGGUCUGUAACUGACGCUGAGGUUCGAAAGCGUGGGUAGCAAACAGGAUUAGAUACCCUGGUAGUC